rnacentral:rRNA from 1 species
GACGAACGCUGGCGGCGUGCUUAACACAUGCAAGUCGAACGGAAAGGCCCUGUCUUUUUGGGGUCCGCGAGUGGCGAACGGGUGAGUAACACGUGAGUACCCUGCCCUUCACUUCGGGAUAAGCUCAGGAAACUGGGGCUAAUACCGGAUAGGAUCUCUUGCUGCAUGAUGGGGGUUGGUAAGUUUCGGCGGUUGGGGAUGGACUCGCCGCUUAUCAGCGUGGUGGUGGGGUAGUGGCUUACCAAGGUUUAGACGGGUAGCCGGCCUGAGAGGGGGACCAGCCACAUUGGGACUGAGAUAGGGACCAGACUCCUACGGGUGGCAGCGGUAGGAAAUGGUAAACAAUGGGCGGGAGCCUGAUCCAGCGACGCCGCGUGCGGGAUGACGGCCUACGGGUUGUAAACCGCUUUCGCUUGUACCGAAGAGGAAGUGACGGUAACGGGUAAAAAAGCACCGGCUAACUACGUG